ACGAACGCUGGCGGCACGCUUAACACAUGCAAGUCGAACGAGAGAAGAGAAGCUUGCUUUUCUGAUCUAGUGGCGGACGGGUGAGUAACACGUGAGCAAUCUGCCUUUCAGAGGGGGAUACCGAUUGGAAACGAUCGUUAAUACCGCAUAACAUAAUUGAACCGCAUGAUUUGAUUAUCAAAGAUUUAUCGCUGAAAGAUGAGCUCGCGUCUGAUUAGCUAGUUGGUAAGGUAACGGCUUACCAAGGCGACGAUCAGUAGCCGGACUGAGAGGUUGAUCGGCCACAUUGGGACUGAGACACGGCCCAGACUCCUACGGGAGGCAGCAGUGGGGAAUAUUGCACAAUGGAGGAAACUCUGAUGCAGCGAUGCCGCGUGAGGGAAGAAGGUUUUAGGAUUGUAAACCUCUGUCUUCAGGGACGAAAAAAGACGGUACCUGAGGAGGAAGCUCCGGCUAACUACGUGCCAGCAGCCGCGGUAAUACGUAGGGAGCGAGCGUUGUCCGGAAUUACUGGGUGUAAAGGGAGCGUAGGCGGGAUCGCAAGUCAGAUGUGAAAACUAUGGGCUUAACCCAUAAACUGCAUUUGAAACUGUGGUUCUUGAGUGAAGUAGAGGUAAGCGGAAUUCCUAGUGUAGCGGUGAAAUGCGUAGAUAUUAGGAGGAACAUCAGUGGCGAAGGCGGCUUACUGGGCUUUAACUGACGCUGAGGCUCGAAAGCGUGGGGAGCAAACAGGAUUAGAUACCCUGGUAGUCCACGCCGUAAACGAUGAUUACUAGGUGUGGGGGGACUGACCCCUUCCGUGCCGCAGCAAACGCAAUAAGUAAUCCACCUGGGGAGUACGACCGCAAGGUUGAAACUCAAAGGAAUUGACGGGGGCCCGCACAAGCAGUGGAGUAUGUGGUUUAAUUCGAAGCAACGCGAAGAACCUUACCAGGUCUUGACAUCGUAUGCAUAGCUCAGAGAUGAGUGAAAUCUCUUCGGAGACAUAUAGACAGGUGGUGCAUGGUUGUCGUCAGCUCGUGUCGUGAGAUGUUGGGUUAAGUCCCGCAACGAGCGCAACCCUUACUGUUAGUUGCUACGCAAGAGCACUCUAGCAGGACUGCCGUUGACAAAACGGAGGAAGGUGGGGAUGACGUCAAAUCAUCAUGCCCCUUAUGACCUGGGCCUCACACGUACUACAAUGGCUGUCAACAGAGGGAAGCAAAGCCGCGAGGUGGAGCAAACCCCUAAAAGCAGUCUUAGUUCGGAUUGUAGGCUGCAACCCGCCUACAUGAAGUCGGAAUUGCUAGUAAUCGCAGAUCAGCAUGCUGCGGUGAAUACGUUCCCGGGCCUUGUACACACCGCCCGUCACGCCAUGGGAGUCGGUAACACCCGAAGCCUGUAGUCUAACCGCAAGGAGGACGCAGUCGAAGGUGGGAUUGAUGACUGGGGUG
rnacentral:rRNA from 1 species